rnacentral:misc_RNA from 1 species
UUGAUUCGUUUGUGUCUUCUCCGAGAUGCUUACGACAAAAUCAGGGUGGUGGGCCGCCGGCGGGCUCGGCCUGAGACCCGCCGAGGCAACAGAGGUAGGUUCACGGUGGUUGCACGGGAUUCUUGCGAGUCCUGUAAUGAUCCCUCCGCUGGUUCACCAACGGAGA